UACGUAGGGGGCUAGCGUUGUCCGGAAUCAUUGGGCGUAAAGCGCGCGUAGGCGGCCCGGUAAGUCCGCUGUGAAAGUCAAAGGCUCAACCUUUGAAUGUCAGCGGAUACUGCCGGGCUAGAGUCCGGAAGAGGCGAGUGGAAUUCCUGGUGUAGCGGUGAAAUGCGCAGAUAUCAGGAGGAACACCAAUUGCGAAGGCAGCUCGCUGGGACGUAACUGACGCUGAGACGCGAAAGCGUGGGGAGCAAACAGG
rnacentral:rRNA from 1 species